GACGAACGCUGGCGUCGUGCUUAACCCAUGCAAGUCGAACGAAGUGUCGCACGGGUGAGUAACGCGUAAUCAACCUGCCCUUCAGAGGGGGACAACAGUUGGAAACGACUGCUCAUACCGCAUACUUAAGGAGGGGAUUUCGUCGGAUUAGCUAGUUGGGGGGGUCACGGCCCACCAAGGCGAUGAUCAGUAGCCGGUCUGAGAGGAUGAACGGCCACAAUGGGACUGAGAAACGGCCCAGACUCCUACGGGAGGCAGCAGUGGGGAAGCUUCCGAAAUGGACGAAAGUCUGACGGAGCAACGCCGCGGGAGGGAUGACGGCCUUCGGGUUGUAAAGCUCUGUUAAUCGGGACGCGGUACCGGAAGAGAAAGCCACGGCGAACUCCGUGCCAGCAGCCGCGGUAAUAC
rnacentral:rRNA from 1 species